rnacentral:rRNA from 1 species
UACAGAGGUCCCAAGCGUUGUUCGGAUUCACUGGGCGUAAAGGGUGCGUAGGUGAUCGGGUAAGUCUGAUGUGAAAUCUCCGAGCUUAACUCGGAAAUGGCAUUGGAUACUAUUCGGCUAGAGGGUUUGAGGGGGGACUGGAAUACUUGGUGUAGCAGUGAAAUGCGUAGAUAUCAAGUGGAACACCAGUGGCGAAGGCGAGUCCCUGGAAAACUCCUGACACUGAGGCACGAAAGCUAGGGGAGCAAACAGG